rnacentral:rRNA from 1 species
ACCUUUGACAUGGCAGGAACUUACCAGAGAUGGUUUGGUGCUCGAAAGAGAACCUGCACACAGGUGCUGCAUGGCUGUCGUCAGCUCGUGUCGUGAGAUGUUGGGUUAAGUCCCGCAACGAGCCGCAACCCUUGCCAUUAGUUGCUACGAAAGGGCACUCUAAUGGGACUGCCGGUGACAAACCGGAGGAAGGUGGGGAUGACGUCAAGUCCUCAUGGCCCUUAUAGGUGGGGCUACACACGUCAUACAAUGGCUGGUACAAAGGGUCGCCAACCCGCGAGGGGGAGCCAAUCCCAUAAAGCCAGUCGUAGUCCGGAUCGCAGUCUGCAACUCGACUGCGUGAAGUCGGAAUCGCUAGUAAUCGUGGAUCAGAAUGUCACGGUGAAUACGUUCCCGGGUCUUGUACACACCGCCCGUCACACCAUGGGAGCGGGUCUCGCCAGAAGUAGGUAGCCUAACCGCAAGGAGGGCGCUUACCACGGCGGGGUUCGUGACUGGGGUGAAGUCGUAACAAGGUAGGCGUAGUGCU